rnacentral:rRNA from 1 species
ACAGGGGGCUCGAGCGUUAGUCGGAAUCACUGGGCUUAAAGGGUGCGUAGGUGGCUCGCCAAGUGCUUUGUGAAAUCCCACAGCUCAACUGUGGAACAGCAGGGCAAACUGGCGAGCUUGAGGCAGGUAGGGGCCGGAAGAACAGUUGGUGGAGCGGUGAAAUGCGUAGAUAUCAACUGGAAUGCCGAUGGGGAAGCCGUCCGGCUGGGCCUGUCCUGACACUGAGGCACGAAAGCGUGGGGAGCAAACAGGA